rnacentral:lncRNA from 1 species
AGAUGAUGGGCUAAUGCAGAAUUCAGCAAAUAACAGCUUUUUAAAGGUCUUUGUUUGGUAAGAUUCAUUAAUUGCUGUGUGCCAGAAGACAGCAGUUGGUCCUUGUGAUACUUGUAGGGGAAAUAUUGUACCCUCAGCUCAGAUAUUUGCAGGCUUACAUGCUGGUAUCAGAGCCCCUUUCUUCACCUUUUGUUAUCCAUACUGAGUCCCAAACUCUCUGCUGAGAAAAGAAGCACUGACCUUCAUGAUUGUCUGUCAGCAGCAUCUCCUUUUCUGUAAUCAAUUUGUCAAACAGUAAGUACUGCAACUACUCAUUUCUUUG